GACGAACGCUGGCGGCGUGCUUAACACAUGCAAGUCGAACGGAAAGGCCCUUCGGGGUGCUCGAGUGGCGAACGGGUGAGUAACACGUGGGUGAUCUGCCCUGCACUUUGGGAUAAGCCUGGGAAACUGGGUCUAAUACCGAAUACACCCUGCUGGUUGCAUGACCUGGUGGGGGAAAGCUUUUGCGGUGUGGGAUGGGCCCGCGGCCUAUCAGCUUGUUGGUGGGGUGAUGGCCUACCAAGGCGACGACGGGUAGCCGGCCUGAGAGGGUGACCGGCCACACUGGGACUGAGAUACGGCCCAGACUCCUACGGGAGGCAGCAGUGGGGAAUAUUGCACAAUGGGCGCAAGCCUGAUGCAGCGACGCCGCGUGGGGGAUGACGGCCUUCGGGUUGUAAACCUCUUUCAGUAGGGACGAAGCGCAAGUGACGGUACCUACAGAAGAAGGACCGGCCAACUACGUGCCAGCAGCCGCGGUAAUACGUAGGGUCCGAGCGUUGUCCGGAAUUACUGGGCGUAAAGAGCUCGUAGUGGUUUGUCGCGUUGUUCGUGAAAACCGGGGGCUUAACCCUCGGCGUGCGGGCGAUACGGGCAGACUGGAGUACUGCAGGGGAGACUGGAAUUCCUGGUGUAGCGGUGGAAUGCGCAGAUAUCAGGAGGAACACCGGUGGCGAAGGCGGGUCUCUGGGCAGUAACUGACGCUGAGGAGCGAAAGCGUGGGGAGCGAGCAGGAUUAGAUACCCUGGUAGUCCACGCCGUAAACGGUGGGUACUAGGUGUGGGUUUCCUUCCUUGGGAUCCGUGCCGUAGCUAACGCAUUAAGUACCCCGCCUGGGGAGUACGGCCGCAAGGCUAAAACUCAAAGGAAUUGACGGGGGCCCGCACAAGCGGCGGUGCAUGUGGAUUAAUUCGAUGCAACGCGAAGAACCUUACCUGGGUUUGACAUGCACAGGAUGUCGGCAGAGAUGUCGGUUCCCUUGUGGCCUGUGUGCAGGUGGUGCAUGGUUGUCGUCAGCUCGUGUCGUGAGAUGUUGGGUUAAGUCCCGCAACGAUCGCAACCCUUGCCUCAUGUUGCCAGCACGUUAUGGUGGGGACUCGUGAGAGACUGCCGGGGUCAACUCGGAGGAAGGUGGGGAUGGCGUCAAGUCAUCAUGCCCCUUAUGUCCAGGGCUUCACACAUGCUACAAUGGCCGGUACAAAGGGCUGCGAUGCCGUGAGGUGGAGCGAAUCCUUUCAAAGCCGGUCUCAGUUCGGAUCGGGGUCUGCAACUCGACCCCGUGAAGUCGGAGUCGCUAGUAAUCGCAGAUCAGCAACGCUGCGGUGAAUACGUUCCCGGGCCU
rnacentral:rRNA from 1 species